AUUUAACACAGUAGACACUAAGAGGAUAUCAGCAUAAAAUGACGCUAAAACUGUCAGGUAAUUCAAUUUCUUCUACAACAGCAAACACAUGUAACAGUUAUUUUGUAGUGAUUUUUUUUGCCUAAUAGACAUAUGCAGCAGAUAUUGGCAGACAUACACAAUAUAACGUACACAGGCAUUUUCAGACUGAAAAGAAUAAUGAUAGAAUAAUAAUAAUAAUAAUAAUAAUAAUAAUUUGGAUUAACUAUACUGUUCAGCCAUGAGUCAACAUUUUUCUCUUUGUCUAAUACUUGCGAUCACCCACCGUUUAAAGAUAUGUGUACAGUGCAUAUAGAAUAUAAGACUAAAAUAAGUUUGCCGUAUAUGGCUAUUAAUGCAAUUGAAAGGUUAGGUGUUUCAUGUUUUGGCUGUUGUAGACAUUUUAUUCUUCUCAAAUUAGCCAAAUGUGGGACAUGUGUAAUUUUUUGCCUGCCUUUCUGUGUCUUAUUUCUCUUCUUUACCAUUGUGAUCUGGAAUUCAUUACACUGAAUACACCGUCUCCACAUUUAAGAGUAGGCUUAAGACUUUCCUUUUUGAUAAAGCUUAUAGUUAGGGCAUAGAAUCGAAUAUUGUUAGGGAGUGUAGUUAGUCACAUAGUUUUCAGAUUAUCUAUCAUAUAAUAACUAAAGGGGACUUGGCAUACAGCCCGAUCGGUUGGGGGGAGUUUGGCCCGACCGGGCUGGGCUCUCUAACUGUCUCUCUUGGUUUGUGUGUAAUAAUAGUUUUAGACAGCUUGGGACUUAUUUUGAUACACUAGUUGGGCAUAGAAUCGAAUAUUGUUAGGGAGUGUAGUUAGUCACAUAGUUUUCAGAUUUAUCUAUCAUAUAAUCAAGAAUAUA